UGAUAUUCCCCUCAAAGUAGGUGUGUUUUCAAUUGCUUGACUGUCUUCCACGCUCGCUUUUCGAUCGGAUUUAAAGCAUUACUGCAAAAUGGACUCCAAUGAUGGACUUACUGGUUCAAGCCACCACAUCCAACAAAAUAGCUCCGGGUGGUCAUAUCAUUAAUGUCAUUUCCAAAGAUGAACGCAGUGUUAGUUACAAGCCCAGCACACCUAUUGGUUCCCUUGAUGCUAACACAGUGUACAUAGUACCCAAGGCCACUUUAGAUUUACCCAUUAAAAGAAUGCCAAAACUUGCUAAUCAGCCUUUUGAGCAGCAAACAUUCAGGUUGCAGGUGAACUUACCUCAUAAUCAGCGAAUGGUUCUCCGGGUUAGUCCUCGCACUACACUAGCUGAGUUGAAAAGUCAGAUUUGCUCUGAAAAAGAACUUGACCAAAGUAGUCAUCAUCUUGUACGGCCUGCACAACCUGAUACUGUUUUAGAUUUAAAUGCUACUCUUGAAGUUUAUGGUUGUGCUGAAAUUAGUUUGAUGUCUAGUGCAGGUCUUCAAGACAGCAUUCGAAGCACUAACAUUUUUCCUUACACAAGAGCUGAAGAAGAAAAAAAAAAAAAAGGAAUUCUUCGUUUAUUUUCAAGGAGGAGGAGGGGAGAUGUGAAUAUUGCCAUCGAAAAGCCCGCAAAUGGAACAAGUACCCUUACUCAUUCUCAGAGUGAGAGUACAGGAUUGAAUCGACAUAGCUAUCAACCAAAGCAGAGCCUGAAAAGGAAACCUGCUCCAGCUCCUCCACAAAACCGAAAUUCAUCACCUCCUUUCAUUACACAGAGUUCAAAUUCUAUUAAUUCACGUCCCGAAUCCGAGAUUUCAAUAAAGACUGCUGAUGAAGUAGAAAGCUCAGUUUCCCAUUCCAGGCAUAGUUCUGAUUCUAGUGGCUAUCACGAACCUUCUGUUUUUAGUGACUGUUCAGAAAACAAGUCACCGGAAGCAUCUAUUGUUCAUGGAGACCAUGUCUCUGUGAAUGAUGCAAACCGACAAGAAAGCCCCUUUCAUAAAGACUAUCCUGAUAGCUGUGUUCUAAUGAAAAGGUCUUCAAUGACGGCCAAAGACACAAAUUUAAAAAAUGUGCCAUCCUGUUCUAAUGUCUCCAUCAUUAGUACAUCUCGUAAACGAAAAGCUCCUCAGCCUCCAGUCUCAACCUUACCUGCAAUAGAAUCUCCAUCAUCACCUGAUGCUCCUCCUUUGGAAACAAUAGAAAAUAUGCCUUCCAAUGUGUCUUCUAAAAACACUGAGCAUGAAGUGGGAGAAAUACAUCCCCAGAAUAAUGAAGAUGCUCUUCCAAAUCCAAGGGAUAAUGAUACUGUUGAAAGUAAAGGCAGCAGAAGUGAUGAUGCUGUGCAACAGGAAUCUGAAGCUCUUCAGUAUUUAGAGGAUGUAUUGCAUGAAUCUGAAAGUUCUGCAAAAGACUUUCUACCACAUAAAGCUUUAGAUGAUAGUGAUACUGACUCUCAAAGAGAUGAGGGUGAAAUGAUAUCAGUAUGCCUUGCUGAAAUCCAUGCAAAUAAUAAUGAUCAGGACUCCCCUGAUAGUGUAGUUGAGCCUCAUGCUGUAGUUUCUCCUGAUUUACCAUCUCCAAAAUCUAGCACUGCUCCACUGUCACUCCCUAAUUCCCAGCCUGCAGGAUGCGAAGUUGUAGAUAUCUCUGCUGAAGACAGCGGCAUUUCCCAAUCUCUCUUUAGUGAUGCUGAUUCUUCUGUGCCCUCAAUAGAGUCAGAUUUCAAGACCAUGUCAGACUCGGGUUGCCAAGAGGAAAUUUACUGUAAUGUAGCAGGUGGGGUAAUUUCUUCUUUUUCUUCUCCUGUGAUAUACUCAAGGAGACCUACUCCUGGAAUUGAAACUGUAACUGCACCAAUCCCUUUGCCAAGAAUGUCUCUUAAAAGGAAAGGUGUCACCUCUGUGGAGUCUUUAAAUUCCAGCACUUAUCCGUCUUGUGACUCCUCAAAAUCAGUGCCUUCUAAUUCGGAUGUCCAAAGUCACAACAAGGAAGGGUUGGACAGCUACGAGAAUGGCGUUCUUGGCAGCAAUAUCAGCGAUCUGAAGCCUGUUGGUGUCCAAACAGAUCAUGAGCAGCCUUCAUCUGGGGAAAGUUCCAACAACAGUAAACAAGAAAUAAGAGUUGAUGAAUCAACAAUUACUAAUAAAGAAGAUUCCCAGAGCUUAAAAACAAUUUCAAAAGCUGAUCCAAUCAUAACUUCCAAAGUAGAUGAAGAAAGCCCUGAAUCCAAAUGCAAGGAGAGUAGAAAAAGUUCUUUUGCAAGUGACAGCAAGUCAAGUUCUCUCACUAGUGAAAGCAAAGAAAGUAGGUCAAGUUCUGUUGCCAGCGAGAGUCCUCUUGGUAGCAUUUCCUCCACACCACGUAAUCGGAAAAAGCUAGAAAAUUUUGCACUAGGCUGCUACAAAAAAGAAGAUAAUGUUGACAUAUACAGUUUACCCUCUCCUGAAUCAGAAAACAAGCCACAAGAAAAAAGUCAGUCACAAAUAAAUCCAGUUGAUUUGAAAAAGGAACUUGAAAUUCCAGUAAGGAGAGUCAAAAAUCAACCCGAUGUGAAGAUAGUUUCUUUUAAAGAACAGAAAGAACAAAAUGAAGAAUAUUUGCAGCAAAGCAGCAGUGGUAGAGUACUGGAAAAAUGUGCUCAACUAAGCAGCAUAAGUACUCUGCCUUUGACUGGAAGAUCUGCCUCAUUGUUUAAUCUUACUCCACAGAAAAAAAUUGAGGCUUCAGUGAAAGAACAAACACUUAAUGAAGAAGUGAUGAAUGAAGGCAUGAAAAGAGCUCAAUCUGAUCAAAAUUUUGCUACUGACUUGGAAGUUGCUGAUAUUAAGACUAAUUUACUUCAAGAGCAGAAACGUCUUCAAGAUGAAUAUAAACGGUUACAAGAGCAGUUCAUGUCAUGGCAAAAACAACUCCUUUAUAAUCAAAAUGUGCUACAAACUGAAAAAAUUGUCCCUCAGAUGGAUUUCCCAGCAUUUGAAAGCUUAGGUAAUUUGGAAAUGAGCUCAAUAAAGGCCAACAGUGAAAAGCAAGUUUAUCAAAGUGAAGUAGAAAAAAAUAGGUUUGAUGAAUUGAAAACAAGGUCUUUACCAAGACCUAAAACUAAGCCUUUAUCUUUAAAAGAAGCUGCAAGACCCAAAACACCUCCAAUCCCUCAAUCUCCUACUGAAACUGCAGUUGUUGAUAUUGAUAUUAGUGUAUCAGAGACUGCCAAGAGGCCUGAAUCUUUACAUUCACAUUCUGUGAACACGCAGGUAAAUGUUGAUCUGAAGGAUAAAGUUGUUCAGGUACCACCUCCUCAGGAUAAAGUUGUCCAGGUACCUUCUCCUCAGGACAAAGUUACUUCCUCUACCCAAGUACCAUCUCCAGAAAAUGUGGAUGGAAAAGAAGAUGUCUCUGCACAGACAAGUAUAAAGGGCCAAGAGUCCUCACCAGAAAUCAGUAGUUACUCACCUUCAACGCCUUCGCCAGAUAAUGAGAGUAGCAAGUCGCAGACACUUCCUCGACCAAAACCUAAGCCUAUUAGUGCCUUUCAACCUUCACAGACUAUGACUCUGAACAGAAGCACGCAACCCAAGUCUCAGGUUGUGUCCGUCACUAUUGGUUCUUGGCAGCAACGUAACUCAGAAAAACCAGAUAUUGAACCUUAUAGUGUAGCUUCAUCGAGGUCAAAAUUCCAGAGUUUAGAAAGCAUUCCACAGAAUUCUAAUAAGCUGAUUCCUAAUACAAUAGAAAAAAGAAAACUACCACCAGUGCCCACUGAAAGUGUAAAUAUUGACAAUGAAUCAGUUCCACUUGUACAUAAACCUGUGGAACCAGUGUCUGAUAAUGCAGUAAUUUCUAAAUCCAUAAAAGAACAUGCUAAUGUUCCAAGCAAAACAAAAGACAAAGUUCAAGAAGAACACAAAAGUACUGUUAUAUCACAGGAAAAAUCUAAAAUAAGUAAUGCUCCUAGGCCUCCAAAAUUGGUUCCAAAACAAAGCGAAACUGAGACUCAAAAGCAAAAGAAUGAAAUUAAGUUUGCUUCUAAAGAUCCUUCUGCUAUGUUUAAGUCAUCAAAACCUUUUGUAAAGUUAUCUAGUAUGAAAGAUGAAACCCAUACAACUUCUAUAAUAGGACUGAAAAAAUGGCCUCUCUCAGAGGGUAACAGUAUUACUGAUGGGCGGCAGACAAUUUUAGAGGAUUUAAGAGCAAAUUCUAAAAGACCAGGAGGAUAUGUUCAGGAUAAAAUUCGAAGAGCCGAAGUUGAUCUUCGGAAGCCAAAAUCGUCAAAGACUGAAUCUGUUACCAUUCGAAAUUCGAAAGAUUCGGAUGUUGAACCUUCUAAACUUCAUAUCACUAAAGUUAAUGUUAAUAAUACAAAUAGUGGUGUGAACUCAAAUACUGUUGUUAAAAAUGUGAGCAGUACCACUAAUACAGUCACUCCUGUGAAUCUUCCAGUGCAGAAAAGUACUGCAUCUAAUGCAGUCACAUCUGUAACCGCUACAACCAGCAGACAUUGGAGCAACACUAUUCCAAAAUCACAGUCACUAAAUUCAGAAUUAAUGUCAGUUUUUUCUAAAAAAGCUUCCAAAAAUUUAUAUAGUGAAAUUAAUAAACAAAAUAUUGCACCAAAGCAUGCAAGUACUGCAUCAGAAACUGUGACCGUUAAUGGUUCUUCACCUGCACCCCCUCCCCCUCCCCCACCUCAGCCGUCUCUUUUUACAAUGCCUGUCAUACCCCCAGCUGAACAAAUUCCUGUUUCCAGUCAACUUUUAAUGGCAAGAGGUACAAAGACUUUGCCUGUAACAAAAAAAGAAUCUAAGAAAAGUCCAUCAAAACCUUCACAAUCUUCUGAUCCUAGGGAAGAGCUUAUGCUGGAGAUACGAGGUUUUGGUGGAAAGCAAGCCCUGCGUAAGCUAUGUGAAAAAACAUGCUUGACAUCACUUCUUAAAAAAUCACCCAAGAAGAAAAAGAUGUCUGAAGAUUCAAGCAGUCCAUCUCAUCAUUAAUGUGAAAGUUUGUUUUAUCUAAGAAGCAGUGGAAAUUUAGACUGAUACAUGUUCCAGUAGCACAGACUGGUUGGAAUCUGAAGGUUUUCGGUACAGCGUCUACUGCGAAUACUUAAGCUUUCAUUCUAGGGCUUCUCUGCAAUGGGAUUUCUGGUCAUGUGCCUAUGAUCAACUGAUAGUCAUUGGUUGUAACAGAACUCGAGUGAUUUUGUACAUAUUAUAAAAAUAUACAGAGUUUUAUCAUCCUUUUCGGUGAUAGAGCUUUUAUUGUGCCAGUACAGAGAAUUAAAACAAUUGUUGAAAAACUGAAAUGUAUUUUCUACAGAAUGUAUCUAUACAUUUCUGUUAGUGCCUGACUAAGUGCCACAAGCUAAGCUCAAUAUCAAACACCAAAGACACUUUGCAGAGGAUAUUUGAGAGAAAAUGAAAUUGGUGUGACAAAAUAUCUAUAUAUAUAAAUACACAUAUAUAUAUACAUAUAUAAAAGCUUUAUUUUUCUCAUGGGACAAGCCCUACUUAAUUGUCUCAAAUUUCAAGAAUUUAAUUUUUAACGUGAUGAAUAUAUGUUUAGCAGAUUAAAUAAGAUCUUUACUUCCACAAUGAUCAUGUUCAUCAAAUAUGGUGAGUAAUGAAUUUUCUCUCUUGCCAAAUGUGGUGGGGAUGUUUAAAAUAAUUUAAUUUAAAUGUUAAAGUAUAGACAAUGCAGUUUGUUGCAUAUGUAGAAUCUAUUAAUUAUUCUUUUUAAUUUGUAAAAAUCUUAUGUUAAAACUCAGUGUAGCUCCUACGUAAGUAAGUAGUCUUUAAAACAGUUAGUUACACCUAUAGGUUUCAAAUUGGGUCAACGAGAAAAUGUUUUUAACUCGUCACCAAAUUUGGCAAACAGAACCAUAGUGGGAGUUCAGCCAAACAAAAGAAUUAAUACAUAUCUGCUAUUCAUUACUGAAAUUUUUAUCCUCGUUAGAUCAUAAAAAUCAUUUUUUCCUGAAGCAUAAUUUUAGCCACUACAGUGCCUCUUUAUUAUGGGAACAGUUGAUAUAUAAUGUGUAUAUAAGCAGUGUACAAAAUAUGUAAAUUCUGUGUUUGUUCAUGUUCAAAUAAUGUAUUUCUAAAAGUGAAGUUCACUUUUAAUUUCUGAUUUAGUGUUUCUGUUCCGUGUUCAGUUUAUAUUAGUUGGCAUGUUGUGAUGAUUCCAGGAAAUCGAAAUACUACCACGCAUGAGCUGUACUUUUAGAAUUUUUUUAACGUAUAUGCCAUAUGGGAUGUGGUAAUCAUAUUUUAAUUAGUCACUCUUCUCAUUUUAAAAAGGCAUAAUUUUAUAAACAGUUUGUGAGAAUUUCUGUUUAGUAUAUAUAUACAUAAAUAUAAUUUCACUAAAAUGUUAUAGCAAAGCAAUGCCUUUAUGUUGAAAUUGUGUUUUGAAUCAUAAAUAAAGAUUUAUGUUAUUUCAAAUUAUAA